CGGAUUCAAAGCGAAGGUCAAGCAAAGCUUUAUUUCGCGCCAAGCGUCAAGAAUCAGACCAAGAGUCAAACAGACCAGUGAGGGUCGCCCCUUACAGAGGACGACCCCUCCCUGCUUUCCAGACUAACUCUGAUAGAGCAAAGGCCAUGUGGUUGGGCCCGGCCACACACAGGUGGCUAACUGAAUUACAAUCCACCCCACAGUAGCCACGGAAACUAGCCCAUCACCUCGGUAGCUAGGAGGCAGUAUGCACCCCCAGAUUGAAUACCCCCACCUGGCCUACCCACCCUUGUACUUGGGCUUUGUUACCUGGAGCUGGUUUCCGGAACUUGUUUUUAAGUCCCCUGGGGAAGGGGAGCAGAAGGGUUAAACAACAACGCUCUUGUUUAACCUCAAUGGAAGCCUCAGGCUAAAAUAAAAAAAUAAAAGAGGUCCUUACGAGACCGCCCUGAAGACUUGAUGAGCAAGGCUGGCAGCUCGCACCAGAUUCCUACAGAAAAGGCCCAGAUCCUGUAUUUUCCUGUAAAACCCCUCAGCCUUUUUAAAAUCCCCAGGGGGUCGGUGUCCUAACCCGACCCAGGCAUCCAGAGGCCGGUUCUCCACAACGCUUUGUCCGGCGCGCACUCCGGCGCCUGGCUCCGAGGGGCUGCCGAGGCGGGACUGCAGCAGCGGCUCGCGGUUUCUGCCCCCCACCCACACCGGACGCCAGGGGGUGAGGGGCAGGCUGCGGGGACCCAGCGCCCAGGACCGCGAGGACGGCGGGCGGGGGCGCGCUCUCAGAGCGCCGGAAUGCGCCCCUCCCUUCCCCCGGGACUCGCUUCCUUCAUGCCCCUGGCAUUUGCCAGACACCUAGUUGCCUCUGUCCUCCUCCCUUCUCCUUUAUUUCCUUCCCCAGUUCCUUCCUUCCUUCCUCUCCCCGGCCGCGACCGCGCCCAACUGAAACAGAACCCGGCCUGGGAGCCCACUCUGACGCGGAAGGACCCCCGGCGCGCGGCGCCCCGCGGACCCGCCCACUCCCGCUUGACUUCCGCUCUUGCAUCAGGCGAUGCACACUUUCUCCCGACAGAGGGCGCCGCUGUUGGCGCGGUGGCUCUCCCUUUCCCCCCGGAAGAGGGUGGCCGACCAGGGCUUUGGUCCGGCCGCGCUCCCCCUAGUGGGGAAAUAGUUUCUUUAGUCCUGAAGGUAGGUUGUGGUCGCAGAGCGCAGCAUCCACGACGUAGUAACCACACUUUGCAGAUAAGGCUGCCAAGAACGAGGGAUUUGUCCAGGAUCCCAGGGGAGUGUCCGUCCAGUUCAAACCCUCAUUCCCGGGAACCGUGCCCGAUUCAUAACUUGUUAAAACUGUUGGCCUGGGUGGCUGUGUUUGCACCAACAGGCUUUCCGCGGUUUGGACGUCUUGGGAGAGCCGAUCCUGAGCUAGUCAACAACCAAUCAGAUUCUCUCUACACAACCUGCGCAGUACUGAGGGAUGGACGGGUUCCCUAACUGUAAUGAGAGGAGCUGGGAUCCCGAGAUCAUGCCGAGCUGACGAGGACGUCUCCUAGGUCACGGGAGUGUGCUGGCUUGGGAUUCAAAUCCAGCCCUAUCUCAUCCCAAAGUCAAUUUUUUCCAGAAAUAAUAAGUAUGUAUAUAUUAGUAAUUAGAUGGAGGAAAAAAACUCAUAAGGAACCUGAAAAUGCUACAGCUGCUUGCGGAAAACAAGGAAGACUUGAAUAAUGGGAAACGUGUUAGGAGAAGAAAGGACAUAAAAGCACCCUGAGACCGGGACAAAAGUUAACCAAGCUCCUACACUGCAUUCUUGGCUACAUUUGAGGCUCCUACUACCCAAUAUUAUAACACGUUGUUUCCUUCCUUUCUUCACCUUUAGACUGUGAAUUCCUCCAGGGCAGGAACUUGGUCUUUCUCUAUAAUCCUAACAAUAGUAUGGCAUAUCGUAGACAUUCAAAAAAGUUUGGAAUGGAUGAAUGACAUCACUCAAAUAAGGAAGUUAUUUCAUUUCUGAGCCUUAUUUUAAAACUUGAGAGCACACCCUUCCCAAAAGAUGACUCAUGAAAAGAAGAAAGAUCACAUUGUUGCUAAGAGGAAUUAAGUCCUCAAGUUUCUUCAGUAAUAACCAAAUUGUCUAGGUGGGCCCAGCACUGUUGUUUUAAGAUCUUGUUCAAUCCAUGUUAGGAAGUGUAGGCAGCCAUGGACCCAGCUAGAGGCCAGGGAUCAAACCAGGCCCUGAUUCAUGCCUCCUGAGUAUCAGUUGAGUUGCGCUUGAGAAAGAGCCUGAGCUAUGGACCCUAAGACUCGCUGAUGUGACUGCCUGCAUGUAUUAAGAGGCCAGACUGAGUUGUACAUUUAACUGUUACAAGAUUACCCAGUACUUGCACGGAUUAUAAAUUGCACCAUUGUAAACUCACGAAUUGCUAGUUAAAGAUUAGCUAAAUAGACAAAAUUACUGGCGUCGGAAGAUCCGCUACCAGCGCUUGGGAAAUGGGUUUCCUCAAAGCCUAAGGGGUUUCAUGUGAAUGCAACGUGUGUAUGAACAAUCAACCGAAAAUAGAUACUUCCUUAUAAUUGUUUCUGUUAACUGUAUAAUGCUUCACAGCUUUGAAUAAAAUUGGCACUGCUUGGACAUCAUCCACUGUGUCCCUCCUGUCCUCAUUUCUUUACAAGUCUUAUUCUCACUCCCUUCUCUUACCCUCUCGACCCUGCUCAUGUCGUCGCACCGGCUGCAACAAGUGGUGCCCGAACAGGGACCUGAGCACAUACAAGAGGAGCUCAAGUUUUUAGGUGGAAAGACCCCCUGACAGGCACUUGGAAGGGUCCUGAUCCUGUCCUCCGCAGAGGGCGCGGUUUGUCUGUGUUUUCUCUCAGGAUGAAGAUACCCCGUGCUGGCUUCCAGAAAGGUGGUGCCAAAUCCUCGCCUCUCCACCAGAGCAUGGCUCGCCUCACGCUGAAUGGCCAAGGCAGAUGAGGAAGGAGAAGACGUCUCCCCACUACAACCAGGGCCUGAUAAGGGUUCUCCUGAACCAGGCCCUGGAAAUAGCAAAUCAAACCCAACCCAAUGAAGCAUUGAUCACUACAGUAUUAACAUUAUUAGCUAUGGUUGGCCUCCCUCAUAGUGAGGCCACCGUUCAUUAGGCAUAUUUGCCUAAUCCACCCACUAUAAGGCCUGUCACUUGGGAUGAUCCCACUUCUUGGGUGCGUACUAAUGGCACUAGUUAUCUUGAGGGAAGUAGUGCUGAUGGUAUAGAAUCUGCAGAACAUUUUAUUAAUUGGACAGGCUUAGGGCUCAAGUACCCAUAUGCUUCCAGCUGCCCUUUUCUGGCUAUGACCUCAUCAAGGGACAUGUGAUAGUGCAGUCUAGGUCCCAUAUAGUUACUUAUCUUGUAAGAGAUAUAGUAAGUGGGGUUAAUGGGUCUAAUCCUGUGAUAGGGGUGGAAAAAUGGAUUGUUUAUGGAGUCGUGGGAAAUAAGACUCCUAAUAUGCCUCUGAAAGGUAUGCGCCCUCCUGGUUACCCCUAUUGCCCUCAGCGGUUGAAUUAUUCCUACCCAGGCCCUAUUUGGAUGACUUGUCUCUCAAAAAAAGGCCUAUGAUCAUUUCUCCUCAAGGCGUUCCUGAUUUCUCCAUUACGGAUUGGUCAAGGAAGACUAGAGAAGAACUGCGAGAUACCGCCUUUCCACCUAAUCUGCCAAUGCAUAAUGUAACUAUCCCAGGUGGAAUCUUCUCUACUGCCGGAGGAAUGUUCCAUUCAGAACUGUGGAAGUUAGUUACUACUAUGGGACCUCUUGGGGUGCAAGUAACUAGGAAUGGCUACAUCCCCACUCUGAACAUCAAUUUAACCUUACGGGCGUGCGUCCCAAGGCCUUUCUUGUUAGUAGUAGGUUCAGGAACCAUAAAUUCAACCUCCUUUUCAGGGAAACACUUCUACAACAUCUGAUGUAACAAUUGUGUAUUGACUAACUGUUGACUUGUAACAUUGCCUUUACCGAGUACUAGUCCUACAAUAGUGUUUGUAAUAUGCAGCCCCCAUAUAUGCUACUGCCUGUAGAAGUAGAAGGACCAUGGUAUGCUAAUUAUGGUUAUCAAUUUGCUCUUGAAAUGCAGCUACAACUUAAACGGAUCAAGCGCUUUUUAGGCUUAUUGAUAGCUGGAAUAGCUGCGUUAGUAGCCCUUAUAGCUACGGCUACAGUAGCCCUCAGUAGCUCUGUCCCAAAGUGUUCAUACUGCCGAACAUGUAAACAAUUUUGCAAAAAAUGUCUCAUAUGCCUUAGCUACACAAGAACAUAUUGAUAAGAAAAUUCUUAGCCGCUUAGAUGGGUUAGAAGAAGCAAUAGAAUAUUUAGGAAGCCAAUUGUCUAUUCUCAAAACUCAAAUGUUCUUGGUCUGUCAUGGUCUUAUCUGUGUAACUUCGUUAAAGGCAAAUAAUAUUACAUGGGACCGAGUAAAAAGACAUCUUCAGGGAAUAUGGUAUCAUACCAAUGUUAGCCUUGAUAUAGCAGACCUGUAAAAGGAUAUUUCAAGCAUCAGCCAGUCUCAUUUGGACUUAGUCCUGCUGAAGUAGUAUCACAUAUUUUAAGUAGCCUACAUGGGUUUAAUCCCAGGAAUUUAGUGAAAUAUUCAUUCUGGCUCUUUAUUGGACUUUUUAUUGUUUUGUUUACUUUCAUUUUGAUUUGGUGCAUUGUACAAAUCCGUGCAAGACAGCACAGGUUUCGUAUGAAGGCUCAAAUGUAUUUCCUAGAUCUAAAAACAAAGAAUGGGGGAGAUGUUGGCAGCCACGGACCCAGCUAGAGGCCAGGGAUCAAACCAGGCCCUGAUUCAUGCCUCCUGAGUAUCAGUUGAGUUGCGCUUGAGAAAGAGCCUGAGCUAUGGACCCUAAGACUCGCUGAUGUGACUGCCUGCAUGUAUUAAGAGGCCAGACUGGGUUGUACAUUUAACUGUUACAAGAUUACCUGGUACUUGCACGGAUUAUAAAUUGCACCAUUGUAAACUCACGAAUUGCUAGUUAAAGAUUAGCUAAGUAGACAAAAUUACUGGCGUCAGAAGAUUUGCUACCAGCGCUUGGGAAAUGGGUUUCAUCAAAGCUUAAGGGCUUUAAUGUGAAUGCUACGUGCGUAUGAACAAUCAACCGAAAAUAGAUACUUCCUUAUAAUUUUUUCUGUUAACUGUACAAUGCCUUACAACCUUGAAUAAAAUUGGCUUGGACAUCA